rnacentral:rRNA from 2 species
UUUCCAGAGAUGGACUGGUGCCUUCGGGAACUGUGAGACAGGUGCUGCAUGGCUGUCGUCAGCUCGUGUUGUGAAAUGUUGGGUUAAGUCCCGCAACGAGCGCAACCCUUAUCCUUUGUUGCCAGCGGUCCGGCCGGGAACUCAAAGGAGACUGCCAGUGAUAAACUGGAGGAAGGUGGGGAUGACGUCAAGUCAUCAUGGCCCUUACGACCAGGGCUACACACGUGCUACAAUGGCGCAUACAAAGAGAAGCGACCUCGCGAGAGUAAGCGGACCUCAUAAAGUGCGUCGUAGUCCGGAUUGGAGUCUGCAACUCGACUCCAUGAAGUCGGAAUCGCUAGUAAUCGUGGAUCAGAAUGCCACGGUGAAUACGUUCCCGGGCCUUGUACACACCGCCCGUCACACCAUGGGAGUGGGUUGCAAAAGAAGUAGGUAGCUUAACCUUCGGGAGGGCGCUUACCACUUUGUGAUUCAUGACUGGGGUGAAGUCGUAACAAGGUAACCGUAGGGGAACCUGCGGUUGGAUCACCUCCUUACCUUAAAGAA